UGAGGUUCCCAUGUCACCCUGCCAAAAUGUGGUCUGGUGGCCUGGCCUUGCUGCUUUGCAGGAGACUGGGCUGUGCAUGGAAGAAAGAAGAAAUGAUGGGGGAGGAGGAGGUGCAGUAGCACCUUGCACAGAGCCAUAUGUAGCCAAGAGAUACCACCUUAGCCUGCGACCAGCCAGACAAAAGUGACUCCUGGAAACCCACAAUAAAAGCUCCCACGUGGAGCAGAUAGGAGGAGCAAAAUGCCCAGCAAGGAGCAGCUGGACCCAGGCUGUUUUCCAAAGGAAGAAGGUUUCUGGUAAGUCAAAGGCAGACAGAGUCUACUGUGACACCAGUUAGCCCAGCAGAUGCUAACAGGGUAGGAGGCCAUACCAGGGCUGGUGUCUCCAGUGGGAUGGGUGGGAGCCAAAGAGAUGGGGAGGAAGACAGGCAAAAGGAAUAAAAGGAAAUCCCACAUAGCAGGGACACCUGCCCUGUAGCUUGAGGAGCUCCUUUGAAGUCCCAGUGACAUGGCUCACCAUGGGACCAGACACUGCAGCCCACCAUGGGCUGGGGUGCAGUGUCAGCCUUGCUUAGGUCUUUGGGGUAAAAGCCACACAUGCCCUGUCUCCAGUAGGCUCUGACAGUGAGAUAUGAUGGAGACCUGGCUUCUAUUCUUGGUGGUGCUGCUAACCUGCUGCGUGCUCUCAGGGAAGUUGAUUCUCUUCUCUCCUCCCCCUGCCUGUCUUGUCUCUUUAGACCAUAAGCUCUUAAGGGAAGGGGAUGGGUCUUGCUCUGUGUUUGCCCAACUCCUAGCAGGAUGGGGUCUUGAUCUCAGGUGGGGCCUGUGGGAGCCACUGACUGACAAAUAAUAAUGGUCUGUGCUCUUGCUAUUCAAGGAGGAUGAGCUGGUACGGCGGGGAUUAACUGGCCCCAACCACUGAUGCAGAUAAGGCUGUAAACAAGAGCAAGCCAUGUUCUCACAUGGCGCCACCAUCACAGUGUUUGCGUAGCAUACCUAGCGCACGGUAACAAUCACAUGAGCCCAAAUUAACCCCACCCCAGGACUCUGCUCUAGUUCCUGCACACAUUAUAGUGGUGCUUCAGCUCUUUGCAUUUCUCCUCUGCAGAUCUCCAAGCACUUUAUGAGGAAGGCAGCUAAUGUCACUCCCUCUCCUCCUCCAUUUUAUAUGUAGGGAAACUGGAGCACAGGAUGGUGAUGUUACUCAGCUAAGUACAUAAAUGAUACACCCAGAAAAACCCCACAAGUUUUCAGGUGAACAGCAAGCUGUGAUGCUGUCAGGUUGCCAUACCAUUUAGAUGUCCACACCAGCACCCAUCUAAUAUCAGGUACAUUGUGCACAAAUUAUUCACUGGCUGAUGGAAACACAUAUGCAUCACUUCUUUACCAGCUAUUUAUCAUCACAGCCACUGGUCAGAUGGGGUUAAAUGGAUUGUCAGAUCUUUUAUUCAGCGAGCAAAGGGAAAUGGCCCAAUCCACUGUCGAGGCUCACUAUUCCAACAAGUUCUAAUUGCAGCUGUGCUGAGCUGAUGCAGCAUGAAGCAGGGCUGGAGUCCUUCAUUUCUGUGGCUUGGCAGCAGGAGGAUCCAGUUCACCCAGGAAAGCCAUUGCAGCUGGUCUGAGAAGGGGGCCCAGGGAGAGGUGAAGCCAGCGGAGUGCUUUGCGUUAUAAAAUGCCAGGUGACCAUUUUACAGCCUUCUCUUCAGGCAGCCCAUGCUGAUGAUUGCUGGGUGGAAGGUGGACCGUGUCACUGCCUGCAAACAACCCCUCAAGGUCAGUCCAGUGCCAGCUCAUUACCUCUGCCGUGCUGGCUGGUCUGGAUCCCAUGUGGAGGCAUUUGAACUGUACGAGGAACAUAGAUGCUUCAUGGAUGUUGGUUUGGGAUUCCAGGCUGAGACCAGGAGCCUAAAUCUUAGAUUUUGGGGCCAUAACAGCUGGCCCCUAGUCUGACUCUGUGCCUCAGUUCCCACCUGUCCAGUGAGGACAGCAGCACUCACCUACCUUACUGGGGGUUGUGAGGAGGAAGUGAUGGGAGAGUGUGGGGUACCCAGACCCUUUGGGAAUGGGGAGGUAUCUCGAUGCCUGCAGUAGCUAUAUGCUCUAUGCCUGCAAUAUGUUCCCAGUUCCCUCCAUGUCCUGGCGCAGGGAUGCUCAGUGUGGAGUACAGCAAGCUUCCUCCUUGUCCUGCUGCACUUGGGAAGGAAGCUGAAUGCCAUCAUUUGGCUUCAGUAGCCAGGGUUGGCCAAAGUGCUGUUCUUAACAGUUGCUAGAUCCAAACCAGAUGGGACACUUCGGAUGAGGAGGACUCGAUCCAAGGCUCAUCUAUUACCAUAUAUUUUCACCUGAGGGAGCUACCUUUGGGCUGCCCUUCUCCACAUCUGAAUAUUCAGGAAGUGACACAAGCAGUCAAAGCCAGGAGAUGCAGCAGCAAGAUUGACAAGUCCCCCUCAGUAUUUCACACCGGCAUGAGCUGAGGGCAGAGGCUGUAUCACACUUGACUUGUGUUCAUCCCUGUCGUUUGAUGAGAUUAUGAACCACUCAUGUCCUGCCAGGACUUCUUAGGUCCUGGCCUUCCCUUUAAACCUGAAUCUCUUCUCCAGAUGUGAUGGGUAGUUGGCCCAGAGGUCAGAAGAAAGAAGAAGUAACACAUGGGAACGUAGGGCAAGAAAGGACCUUUGAGCAUAGCCUCCUGCUCUCAAAGAUAACUAUACCAUACAAUCUUGAGAUCCAUUUAAAAUGUAGUGAGAUGCAUGUCAAGAUUCCUGGGCUCUUUUUCCCACUCUGGCAUGAGUCCGUGGCAUGUCCUGUGUAAGCAAGUCCCCUUGACAUCUUCAGGUCUGUUUCUCCAUGUAUAAUAUACUGUACAUUAUACAUAAUGCCUAUACCUACCAUGUAGGAGCAGGGCGUCUCAUUGAUGUUGUUAGAGUAUUUUGAGAUUUUCAGGUGAAUGUGAGGAAUGCAAAGUAGCAUGUAGUUCUUUGUUCUGUGGACCUUGGAUGGGAGAUCCUGUGAGCCACCAUCCACCCUUGUCCUGAGCAUCUACGAAAAAUCAAAUCCCACAUACUUGUUCAUACUCUUUGGUACUACCCUGGGGUCAUUUGGGGCAAAUAUCCUUCACACUCAAGUGACCUUGAAUCCAGACCAUUGGGCUGGGUAACCAGAAGCCACCCCAGAGAGACAGGAAUCCCACCCAGCUGCACAGUAAACAUUUCCUCCGGUCCAAAUACCAGGUGUCCUUGGAGCACAUGAAAGUCCCCACCCACAAUCCAAGUCAGAGUUGGGAACACUAAUGACUGCCAGAGCUGUGUGACCUGUCUCCUCCUCGUUAUUAUUUUUUGUUGCAAAAGCACCUUCAAAGCCCAGUAGAAAUGGACUGGCACCCUGGCACCUGCUGCCCCCCGCCACUGCCUGCAGUUCAGGCUGGUCAUGCGUAUGCUGCUCCUUCACAUGAAGACAUGGCCUUUUUCCGAUGGGUGAGCUGGCAAGAGAUCGUUAGGUUCAUUUUCUCACAGCUAUGCUCACUGUGUUUGCUACCAAGGGGUCUGGCAUCAGCCUCCUGAAUCAUCUGCUAUUGAAUCUGCUGAUGUACUGCAGCCUUGCCUCCAUAAGCAUCAUAUGGACUGUGUUCCCCUGUGAGGCUGACAGAACAUAAGUGCUGCAGGUCCAGACUUUGAUCACAAGGGAGAUUUUUUUAGGCCAGACUUUCUGCAGUUGACUGAAUGCACCUCUGGUCUCUGCUGAAGAAACCAUGGGCUUUAAACACACUAGACGAUCUUCCGGGAUUUAUUUCAUCCAGCAGGAGACUGCAUCAUAAUACAGCUCAUGAAGCUUUGUAUCACUAACUUGCCUCUGACAGCAAUGCAAAGCAAAGUGUUCUUGUUUUUCUCUCUCUAGCAAUGUUGAGGCUCUGGCUCUGUUUCCAAGAUAUGAUUACUUGAAUGAAAAGUGAUGAAUAAAUAAAAUAUAUCCAGUUUUUUUCAUC